AUGAGUGCAAACAAGAGCUAUCGCUCGCACAAAAAUACCGACGGCGAGGUGGACUUUGAAUUCUAUCCAGUAAUACGCAAGUACAAGGACGGCCGUAUCGAGCGGUUCACAAUGAGUUCAUUCGUGCCGGCAUCAGCGGAUCCAGCCACCAGCCAUGGGGUGGCAACAAGGGAUGUCGUCAUCGACCAAGGCACCGGUGUGUCGGUACGCCUGUUUCUUCCCUCCCAAGCCGCCGCGGCGGGCACGAGGCUUCCCCUCGUCGUCUAUGUCCAUGGUGGUUCUUUCUGCACACAGAGUGCGUACUCUCGAACCUACCACCGUUACGCCACCUCCCUCGCAGGAAGCGCAGGGGCGCUCAUCGUGUCUGUGGAAUACCGUCUGGCACCGGAGUAUCCCGUGCCGGCGUCCUACAAUGACACAUGGGCUGCACUGCGGUGGGUGGCCACCUUGUCCGACCCUUGGCUCGCUGAGUAUGCAGAUCCCAGGCGCACGUACCUCGCCGGCGACAGCGCUGGUGGCAACAUCGUGUACCACAUGGCUAUACGCGCCACACAUGAUGACAGCAUCAUGGACAUUGAGGGCUUGGUUAUUGUGCAUCCAUUUCUCUGGGGACUCGAGCGGCUUCCCGCCGAGAAGGUUUCGGACGGUGACGUGAUGUACCCGCCGGCGCUGGUGGACAAGCUAUGGCCAUUUGUGACGGCGGGCCAGGCUGGCAACGACGAUCCCCGGAUCAAUCCUCCGGACGGUGAGAUCGCGUUGCUGACUUGCAGGCGUGUUAUGGUAUGUGUUGCAGGGAGAGACACCUUGCGUGACCGGGGGCGCCGGUUCGCGUCCAGAAUGCGGAAGUGUGGGUGGACUGACCGCAACCUCACCGUGGUGGAGACGGAGGGCGAGGAUCAUCUCUUCCACCUGUACGCACCGCUGCGUGCGACCAGCAAGGACCUUAUGGAUCGUGUUGUGCACUUCAUUAACGAUCGCGCCACGUUGCCAUCACCGAACCAUAGUGAUCCCAGAUCUCUAUGCCGCGCAGCUCUUUAA
rnacentral:rRNA from 1 species